CGCCCUCCGUCCGGGGGGUGGCCAGCGCCCGCCAGAGGACCAUCGAACUCCGGUCAGUGAACGUUGCCGUCUGAAAAACAAUCAAUAAACUAAAACUUUCAACAACGGAUCUCUUGGUUCUGGCAUCGAUGAAGAACGCAGCGAAAUGCGAUAAGUAAUGUGAAUUGCAGAAUUCAGUGAAUCAUCGAAUCUUUGAACGCACAUUGCGCCCCUCGGUAUUCCGAGGGGCAUGCCUGUUCGAGCGUCAUUACAACCCUCAAGCUCUGCUUGGUGUUGGGCACCGCCCUUCCGCGGGCGCGCCUCAAAGACCUCGGCGGUGGCGUCUUGCCUCGAGCGUAGUAGAAAACACCUCGCUUUGGAGCGCACGGCGCCGCCCGCCGGACGAACCUUUUGAACUUUCUCAAGGUUGACCUCGGAUCA
rnacentral:rRNA from 1 species